GAACGCUGGCGGCGGCCCUAAUACAUGCAAGUAGAACGCUGAGGUUUGGUGUUUCCACUAGACUGAUGAGUUGCGAACGGGUGAGUAACGCGUAGGUAACCUGCCUCAUAGCGGGGGAUAACUAUUGGAAACGAUAGCUAAUACCGCAUAAGAGUAAUUAACACAUGUUAGUUAUUUAAAAGGAGCAAUUGCUUCACUGUGAGAUGGACCUGCGUUGUAUUAGCUAGUUGGUGAGGUAAAGGCUCACCAAGGCGACGAUACAAAGCCGACCUGAGAGGGUGAUCGGCCACACUGGGACUGAGACACGGCCCAGACUNCUACGGGAGGCAGCAGUAGGGAAUCUUCGGCAAUGGACGGAAGUCUGACCGAGCAACGCCGCGUGAGUGAAGAAGGUUUUCGGAUCGUAAAGCUCUGUUGUUAGAGAAGAACGUUGGUAGGAGUGGAAAAUCUACCAAGUGACGGUAACUAACCAGAAAGGGACGGCUAACUACGUGCCAGCAGCCGCGGUAAUACGUAGGUCCCGAGCGUUGUCCGGAUUUAUUGGGCGUAAAGCGAGCGCAGGCGGUUCUUUAAGUCUGAAGUUAAAGGCAGUGGCUUAACCAUUGUACGCUUUGGAAACUGGAGGACUUGAGUGCAGAAGGGGAGAGUGGAAUUCCAUGUGUAGCGGUGAAAUGCGUAGAUAUAUGGAGGAACACCGGUGGCGAAAGCGGCUCUCUGGUCUGUAACUGACGCUGAGGCUCGAAAGCGUGGGGAGCAAACAGGAUUAGAUACCCUGGUAGUCCACGCCGUAAACGAUGAGUGCUAGGGGUUAGGACCUUUCCGGGGCUUAGU
rnacentral:rRNA from 1 species